AUGGUUCAAACUCGUGGAGGUGCAGCCCCUUGUGUAUGGGAAACUCCGACGGCCGCGAGAUCCAGAGCACAAGACCUCCACGCCGGCGAGCAUGAGGGCCAAUCGACUAGAAGAGGGGCGGGGGACGACGGGCAGGGAGGACGGCCAGGCGUGGAUAAGGACGGCGGGGCACGGCAGCCGGGGAGGAGGGCGGGGCCAGCCGGGGAGGAGGCACCUGUGCCGCCGUCGGACUCCAUGGCGGGGAGUGGCUCAAGGGGACGGCGAGCAGGAGCUGGAGAGGAGGGGAGGAAGGCACCUGCGCCGCCGCCGGACUCCAUGGUGGUGGCCACCGCCGCCGGCCUCUGCUAG
rnacentral:rRNA from 1 species